GAGGGGUAUCCUCUGUGUAACCCAGUCUCUCUGAGGGGUAUCCUCCUGUAACCCCAGUCUCUCUGAGGGGUAUCCUCCUGUGUAACCCAGUCUCUCUGAGGGCAUCCUCCUGUAACCCCAGUCUCUCUGGGGUAUCCUCCUGUGUGUACCCCAGUCUCUCUGAGGGGUAUCCUCCUGUGUGUACCCCAGUCUCUCUGAGGGGCAUCCUCCUGUAACCCCAGUCUCUCUGAGGGGUAUCCUCCUGUGUAACCCCAGUCUCUCUGAGGGGUAUCCUCCUGGUAACCCAGUCUCUCUGAGGGUAUCCUCCUGUGUAACCCCAGUUCUCUGAGGGGUAUCCUCCUGUGGCCCCAGUCUCUCUGAGGGGUAUCCUCCUGUAACCCCAUCUCUCUGAGGGGUAUCCUCCUGUGUAACCCAGUCUCUCUGAGGGGUAUCCUCCUGUAACCCCAGUCUCUCUGAGGGGUAUCCUCUGUGUAACCCAGUCUCUCGUGAGGGUAUCCUCCUGUAACCCAUCUCUGGGGGUAUCCCCCUGUGUGUAACCCCAGUCUCUCUGAGGGGUAUCCUCCUGUGUGUAACCCCAGUCUCUCUGAGGGUGUUCCUCCGUGUAACCCAGUCUCUCUGAGGGGUAUCCUCCUGUGUAACCCAGUCUCUCUGAGGG
rnacentral:lncRNA from 1 species